CGCUGGCGGCGCGCCUAACACAUGCAAGUCGAACGAGAGAGAGGAAGCUUGCUUCCUCAAUCGAGUGGCGAACGGGUGAGUAACGCGUGAGGAACCUGCCUCAAAGAGGGGGACAACAGUUGGAAACGACUGCUAAUACCGCAUAAGCCCACAGGUCGGCAUCGACCAGAGGGAAAAGGAGUAAUCCGCUUUGAGAUGGCCUCGCGUCCGAUUAGCUAGUUGGUGAGGUAACGGCCCACCAAGGCGACGAUCGGUAGCCGGACUGAGAGGUUGAACGGCCACAUUGGGACUGAGACACGGCCCAGACUCCUACGGGAGGCAGCAGUGGGGAAUAUUGGCACAAUGGGGGAAACCCUGAUGCAGCGACGCCGCGUGGAGGAAGAAGGUCUUCGGAUUGUAAACUCCUGUUGUUGAGGAAGAUAAUGACGGUACUCAACAAGGAAGUGACGGCUAACUACGUG
rnacentral:rRNA from 1 species